AGUGAACGCUGGCGGUAGGCCUAACACAUGCAAGUCGAACGGCAGCACAGUAAGAGCUUGCUCUUACGGGUGGCGAGUGGCGGACGGGUGAGGAAUACAUCGGAAUCUACUUUUUCGUGGGGGAUAACGUAGGGAAACUUACGCUAAUACCGCAUACGACCUACGGGUGAAAGCAGGGGAUCUUCGGACCUUGCGCGAUUGAAUGAGCCGAUGUCGGAUUAGCUAGUCGGUGAGGUAAAGGCCCACCAAGGCGACGAUACGUAGCUGGUCUGAGAGGAUGAUCGGCCCAAAUGGAACUGAGACACGGUCCAGACUGCAACGGGAGGCAGCAGUAGGGAAUUGUCAGGAAUGGGCGAAAGCUUGACGGAGCAAAGCGGAGGGAGUGAUGAAGGUCUUCGGAUCGUAAAACUAUGUUAUUAGGGAAGACCAAAUGUGUAAGUAAAUAUGCACGUCUUGACGGUACCUAAUAAGAAAGCCACGGCUAACUACGUG
rnacentral:rRNA from 1 species